UACGUAGGGGGGCUAGCGUUGUCCGGAAUCAUUGGGCGUAAAGCGCGUGUAGGCGGUCCGGUAAGUCCGCUGUGAAAGUCGAGGGCUCAACCCUCGAAUGCCGGUGGAUACUGUCGGGCUUGAGUACGGGAGAGGCGAGUGGAAUUCCUGGUGUAGCGGUGGAAUGCGCAGAUAUCAGGAGGAACACCAAUAGCGAAGGCAGCUCGCUGGGACGGUAUUGACGCUAAGGCGCGAAAGCGUGGGGAGCAAACAGG
rnacentral:rRNA from 1 species